rnacentral:SRP_RNA from 1 species
GCUGGGCGUGGUGGCGCACGCCUGUCAUCCCAGCCACUUGGGAGGCAGAGACUGGAGGACCGUGAGUUCAAAGCCAGCCUCAGCAAAAAAGCAAGGUGCUAAGGAGCUCAUUGAGACCCUGUCUCU